rnacentral:misc_RNA from 1 species
GAGUUCAUGCCCGAAAGGGUAGACCUCCCACCCUUGUGUAUUAUUACUUUGUUGCUUUGGCGAGACGCCCUAGGGCCUCAAGCUUUCGAGCUUGAGCGUGCUCGCCAGAGGAUAUCAAAACUCUUUUUAUUAAUGUCGUCUGAGUACUAUAUAAUAGUUAAAACUUUCAACAACGGAUCUCUUGGUUCU